rnacentral:rRNA from 1 species
AUUGAACGCUGGCGGCAGGCUUAACACAUGCAAGUCGAGCGGGGAAAAGUAGCUUGCUACUUGACCUAGCGGCGGACGGGUGAGUAAUGCUUAGGAAUCUGCCUAUUAGUGGGGGACAACAUCUCGAAAGGGAUGCUAAUACCGCAUACGUCCUACGGGAGAAAGCAGGGGACCUUCGGGCCUUGCGCUAAUAGAUGAGCCUAAGUCGGAUUAGCGAGUUGGUGGGGUAAAGGCCUACCAAGGCGACGAUCUGUAGCGGGUCUGAGAGGAGGAUCCGCCACACUGGGACUGAGACACGGCCCAGACUCCUACGGGAGGCAGCAGUGGGGAAUAUUGGACAAUGGGGGGAACCCUGAUCCAGCCAUGCCGCGUGUGUGAAGAAGGCCUUUUGGUUGUAAAGCACUUUAAGCGAGGAGGAGGCUACCGAGAUUAAUACUCUUGGAUAGUGGACGUUACUCGCAGAAUAAGCACCGGCUAACUCUGUGCCAGCCGCCGCAGUAA